rnacentral:rRNA from 1 species
GAUUGAACGCUGGCGGCAGGCCUAACACAUGCAAGUCGAGCGGUAGCACAGAGAGCUUGCUCUCGGGUGACGAGCGGCGGACGGGUGAGUAAUGUCUGGGAAACUGCCUGAUGGAGGGGGAUAACUACUGGAAACGGUAGCUAAUACCGCAUAAUGUCGCAAGACCAAAGUGGGGGACCUUCGGGCCUCAUGCCAUCAGAUGUGCCCAGAUGGGAUUAGCUAGUAGGUGGGGUAACGGCUCACCUAGGCGACGAUCCCUAGCUGGUCUGAGAGGAUGACCAGCCACACUGGAACUGAGACACGGUCCAGACUCCUACGGGAGGCAGCAGUGGGGAAUAUUGCACAAUGGGCGCAAGCCUGAUGCAGCCAUGCCGCGUGUGUGAAGAAGGCCUUCGGGUUGUAAAGCACUUUCAGCAGGGAGGAAGGCGGUGAGGUUAAUAACCUCAUCGAUUGACGUUACCCGCAGAAGAAGCACCGGCUAACUCCGUGCCAGCAGCCGCGGUAAUACGGAGGGUGCAAGCGUUAAUCGGAAUUACUGGGCGUAAAGCGCACGCAGGCGGUCUGUCAAGUCGGAUGUGAAAUCCCCGGGCUUAACCUGGGAACUGCAUUCGAAACUGGCAGGCUAGAGUCUUGUAGAGGGGGGUAGAAUUCCAGGUGUAGCGGUGAAAUGCAUAGAGAUCUGGAGGAAUACCGGUGGCGAAGGCGGCCCCCUGGACAAAGACUGACGCUCAGGUGCGAAAGCGUGGGGAGCAAACAGGAUUAGAUACCCUGGUAGUCCACGCCGUAAACGAUGUCGAUUUGGAGGUUGUGCCCUUGAGGCGUGGCUUCCGGAGCUAACGCGUUAAAUCGACCGCCUGGGGAGUACGGCCGCAAGGUUAAAACUCAAAUGAAUUGACGGGGGCCCGCACAAGCGGUGGAGCAUGUGGUUUAAUUCGAUGCAACGCGAAGAACCUUACCUGGUCUUGACAUCCACAGAACUUUCCAGAGAUGGAUUGGUGCCUUCGGGAACUGUGAGACAGGUGCUGCAUGGCUGUCGUCAGCUCGUGUUGUGAAAUGUUGGGUUAAGUCCCGCAACGAGCGCAACCCUUAUCCUUUGUUGCCAGCGGUCCGGCCGGGAACUCAAAGGAGACUGCCAGUGAUAAACUGGAGGAAGGUGGGGAUGACGUCAAGUCAUCAUGGCCCUUACGACCAGGGCUACACACGUGCUACAAUGGCAUAUACAAAGAGAAGCGACCUCGCGAGAGCAAGCGGACCUCAUAAAGUAUGUCGUAGUCCGGAUUGGAGUCUGCAACUCGACUCCAUGAAGUCGGAAUCGCUAGUAAUCGUAGAUCAGAAUGCUACGGUGAAUACGUUCCCGGGCCUUGUACACACCGCCCGUCACACCAUGGGAGUGGGUUGCAAAAGAAGUAGGUAGCUUAACCUUCGGGAGGGCGCUUACCACUUUGUGAUUCAUGACUGGGGUGAAGUCGUAACAAGG